rnacentral:rRNA from 1 species
UGGCUCAGGACGAACGCUGGCGGCGUGCUUAACACAUGCAAGUCGAACGAGGAUUAUGUGGAGGGGCUUCGGCCUGGAAGAUGUAAUUCGAGUGGCGGACGGGUGAGUAACGCGUGAACAAUCUGUCCCGGACAGGGGAAUAACACUUGGAAACAGGUGCUAAUACCGCAUAAGACCACGCCCUCGCAUGGGGGAGGGGUAAAAGGAGCAAUCCGGUUCGGGGUGAGUUCGCGUCCGAUUAGAUAGUUGGUGAGGUAACGGCCCACCAAGUCGACGAUCGGUAGCCGACCUGAGAGGGUGAUCGGCCACAUUGGAACUGAGAGACGGUCCAAACUCCUACGGGAGGCAGCAGUGGGGAAUAUUGGGCAAUGGGCGAAAGCCCUGACCCAGCAACGCCGCGUGAGUGAAGAAGGCUUUCGGGUUGUAAAGCUCUGUUAUAGGGGACGAAGGAAGUGACGGUACCCUAUAAGGAAGCCCCGGCUAACUACGUGCCAGCCGCAGC